rnacentral:rRNA from 1 species
GAUGAACGCUGGCGGCGUGCCUAACACAUGCAAGUCGAGCGAUCUUCUUCGGAAGAGAGCGGCGGACGGGUGAGUAACGCGUGGGUAACCUGCCCUGUACACACGGAUAACAUACCGAAAGGUAUGCUAAUACGGGAUAACAUAAGAGAGUCGCAUGGCUAUCUUAUCAAAGCUUUUGCGGUACAGGAUGGACCCGCGUCUGAUUAGCUAGUUGGUAAGGUAACGGCUUACCAAGGCGACGAUUAGUAGCCGACCUGAGAGGGUGAUCGGCCACAUUGGAACUGAGACACGGUCCAAACUCCUACGGGAGGCAGCAGUGGGGAAUAUUGCACAAUGGGCGAAAGCCUGAUGCAGCAACGCCGCGUGAGCGAUGAAGGCCUUCGGGUCGUAAAGCUCUGUCCUCAAGGAAGAUAAUGACGGUACUUGAGGAGGAAGCCCCGGCUAACUACGUGCCAGCAGCCGCGGUAAUACGUAGGGGGCUAGCGUUAUCCGGAAUUACUGGGCGUAAAGGGUGCGUAGGCGGUCUUUCAAGUCAGAAGUGAAAGGCUACGGCUCAACCGUAGUAAGCUUUUGAAACUGUAAGACUUGAGUGCAGGAGAGGAGAGUGGAAUUCCUAGUGUAGCGGUGAAAUGCGUAGAUAUUAGGAGGAACACCAGUUGCGAAGGCGGCUCUCUGGACUGUAACUGACGCUGAGGCACGAAAGCGUGGGGA